GGCUGUGACCGGUGGGUCAGUGCCCGAGGUCGAGAAGAACUUCUUCCCCUCGUGGCCUCCUCUGUUCCCUGAACGACUUUUCCCCGCCCCCGCGAGUGCCCCCAAACCCAAAUCGAACCAAACCCUGACGCUCCAAAUUCCCCAGCUCGGAGAUCCAGAAGGAUCUAGAAGAAGCAGAGGCACCUGAGCUACUGGAGCCCGGAGGAGAGGCAGGUGGUGGUGGUGGCGAAGCCGUCGGCGGCAUCGACGGCGGCGGCUGGGGUAUCUGCGAUGAUAACCCGGUCAAAGCUGGUGGAGCAGCUGCGCGAUUACCAGAUCCGAUCACAGCACAAGCGCGACAUUAUUGGAGCUAUCUCAUGGGGCUUGUUGUGUUGUUUCCUAAUAGUAUCCUCGUACAUGAUGCUAUACUUCAGGCACUUCUGGUUAUCCGCUGUUAUUAUCUCCGUUGGUAUUCUUCUUCCUGCCGGACUGUAUAUUUUGAGGCAGAGAAAGCUGGCUAAGAAAAGAGAGAGAAGAUUAUUGUUGCCUCUCUCUAUGUAAGGUUACCGGUAGAUUCCCAGAUUUUGUGGUUAUUCUUGACUAGAUAGAAUCCACAUUCUUGGCUUGCUUAGCACAAAUCCAAAAGUUCAUACGCCUCUGUGCCCAUUAUAUGUCCAAAUUCUUUAGUCUCUUACUAAAGUGCUGGAAGUAACAGUGUCAUUUUUUGUGCUCCAGCAUUAUGUGAGCAGAUAAUUUACAAUGCUUUUGGGUAUAGUGGCUGUGUUUUGUACCACAGUUUGUGUUUUUCUUCAUUUUCGUUUCAUUGGUGCUUGCAGCCUGAAACGGCAUCUCAGUGUACCCCAACUACCUUGGGGCGUCACACUUUUGUAACUAAAGAAGCAACGGUUGUUUGUUAUUCUGAUGGAAUUUGUAAGCUUCAUAUCCACUGUAGCUACUCUUACUCGAGUUGUUUCCUGCACUCAAGGUGAAUGACACAGUAUGGUUCACAUUUUUUUCUU